UACGGGGGGGGCAAGCGUUGUUCGGAAUUACUGGGCGUAAAGGGUUUGUAGGUGGCUCGCUAAGUCACACGUGAAAUCCCUCGGCUUAACCGGGGAACUGCGUCUGAUACUGGAUGGCUAGAGUGUGGGAGAGGGAUGCGGAAUUCCAGGUGUAGCGGUGAAAUGCGCAGAUAUCGGGAGGAACACCGGUGGCGAAGGCGGUUCUCUGGGCCUGUACUGACGCUGAGGAGCGAAAGCGUGGGGAGCGAACAGG
rnacentral:rRNA from 1 species